AGCAGCCGCGGUAAUUCCAGCUCCAAUAGCGUAUAUUAAAGUUGUUGCAGUUAAAAAGCUCGUAGUUGAAUUUCGGGACCAAUUUGUUGGUCGUGCCUCGGUACGUACUGAUAUUAUUGGUUUCUCCCUUCUGAAGAACCUUGAUGUCAUUAAUUUGGUGUCUUGGGGAAUCAGGACUGUUACUUUGAAAAAAUUAGAGUGUUUAAAGCAGGCAUACGCUUGAAUACAUCAGCAUGGAAUAAUGAAAUAGGACGUUUGAUUCUAUUUUGUUGGUUUCUAGGAUCGACGUAAUGAUUAAUAGGGAUAGUUGGGGGCAUUAGUAUUCAAUUGUCAGAGGUGAAAUUCUUGGAUUUAUUGAAGACUAACUACUGCGAAAGCAUUUGCCAAGGAUGUUUUCAUUAAUCAAGAACGAAAGUUAGGGGAUCGAAGACGAUCAGAUACCGUCGUAGUCUUAACCAUAAACUAUGCCGACUAGGGAUCGGAUGAUGUUAAUUUUUAAUGACUCAUUCGGCGCCUUACG
rnacentral:rRNA from 1 species